AUACAGCUAGUAACAAAGAUUAGUAGCGAAUUAUCUUUCUGUCAGAAACCAAGUGGUAAUGCGAACUUGGAGAAGUAAUUUGUGAACUCACUUUGAAAGUUUAUUUCUGAAAUCAUAGUAGGAAGUAACGUUCUCCGCGUUAAGGAAUCAAGUGUGCAGGCAACUGCAAAUACUAGGUGGUACCGCGGAAUUUAUUCGUCCUAUGA
rnacentral:ncRNA from 1 species